UUCCUUGGAAAAGGACAGCUGAGAGGGUGAAACUCCCGUCCGCCUGGUAGAAUGAGUCUUUGUCAACGAGUCGAGUUGUUUGGGAUUGCAGCUCUAAUUUGGUGGUAAAUUCCAUCUAAAGCUAAAUAUUGGUGGGAGACCGAUAGCGUACAAGUACCGUGAGGGAAAGAUGCAAAGAACUUUGAAAAGAGAGUUAAAGAGUACCUGAAAUUGCUAAAGCGGAAGCGAAGGAAACCAGUGUUUGUUGGUUCAUAUUUCCUUGGCCACUUGUGGUUUGGGCG
rnacentral:rRNA from 1 species